CUUACCACCAUUGUCUACAAGAGCUUUAGGAGUUGUGUGUCAGGAAGUAAGAAGAUCAAAUAUUCAUUUUACAAUAUUACAGUCUCUGAGAGAAGAGGACAAAAAUGAAAUCAUUGUGCACAUGGGGACCCUGCCUUGUGUUACUACAAUAAAUCUCGAUUUAGCAACGUCUAGACUUUGGAAAUUCUACUACUGCCCAGCUUCAUUGUAAAAGCAGCCAUCACUGACUUUCUGUUCCAUCAUCCUGGCAGUUGGCAGGAAUUCCUGAAAUUGUUCGAAACCAGAAAACUUCCCCCCAAAAUCAGAAGGCUGGCAUUAGGACCCAGCCCAAUGCCCGUGGAUCCAUCGCCCUCCACCACGUGCAAAGCAUCAGAAGAACAGCUCUGUCCAUAGAAAUCAUAGAACCAGGAGGAGGGAAAUCAAACCCAAAAUUAAUCAAACAGGAUGUAAUUCCCAGAGCAAACAUGCAUCAAUUAGGGGAAAUGUUACCAUCCAGGUACUGGGUUUGGAAUUUCACGAGGGACUCAUAAGGUGAAUAAACUAAGCUCUGACAUUGAUUAUGGAAAGCAGCAGCUGUAUGAUGUCAGGGCUGCUGUGAUCAGUUCAGCCAGAAAUUCACUUUUCAGUGCCUUGA